AGGGGUACGUGUUUUUUCUAGAUCCAGGAGAAGAGGGCGAUGGUCUGAACCAGUGAAGUCCAAAAAUUAUAAUUCUGC
rnacentral:sRNA from 1 species